UUCCAGUCAAAGCGAGUAGCAAUACUCAGCGGCGAACGGGUGAGUAACACGUGGGUAAUCUUCCUCUGAGUCUGGGAUAACUUUCCGAAAGGGAAGCUAAUACUGGAUGGUCCCGAGAGAUCAUAAGAUUUUUCGGGUAAAGAUUUAUUGCUCGGAGAUGAGCCCGCGUCCGAUUAGCUAGUUGGUGAGGUAAAGGCUUCACCAAGGCGACGAUCGGUAGCCGGCCUGAGAAGGGUGUUCGGCCACAAAUGGACUGAGACCGCUCCCUCCU
rnacentral:rRNA from 1 species